rnacentral:lncRNA from 1 species
GCUGCAAGCCUCACAAUGAGGGCUGUUCCAUCACAGAAGCCACCAGGUCUGUCCCAGGCAGGUUGUAAAGCCCCAAGGUUUGGUGCAGGGUCCCUGUGUCUCUCGCAGGAGGCCACCACAAGCGACGACAGGGACGCAGGUUGGGCAGGGCCACGAUGAUCUGUGGGCCUGGUACCCAUCUACUAUUAUCAACAUAUACUUCAAUAGAAUUAUUCAUCCAAGUGACUGCCCAAAUUAAGGGCAGGAAAGGCACAUAGGCCCAGU